AAAAUCCGUUGACUUUUAAAAUCGUGAGGGUUCAAGUCCUCUAUCCCCAA
rnacentral:tRNA from 1 species